AAAUCUAUGCUAAGUUGAACAAAGGAGGUCCAGUUGCUUAGACAGCCAGGAAGUUAGCUUGGAAGCAGCUAUCUUUUAAAGAGUGCGUAACAGCUCACUGGUCGAGCGACAGGGCAUCGAUAAUAAACGGGCAUCAAUCGUAGUACCGAAGCUUGGGAUUGUAGUAAUACAGUGGUAGGGGAGCAUUCUCUAUGCAGCGAAGGUGUGAUGUAAGUCAUGCUGGAGCGUAGAGAAAAGCAAAUGUAGGCAUAAGUAACGAUAAGGCAGGUGAGAAACCUGCCCACCGAAAGACUAAGGUUUCCUGUAUCAACGAUAAUCGGAUCAGGGUUAGUCGGGGCCUAAGAGUUAAGCGAGAGCGAUAUUCGAUGGACAGCUGGUUAAUAUUCCAGCACUUUCUAUGGGAGCGAUGUCGGGACGGGGC
rnacentral:rRNA from 1 species